CAGCAGCCGCGGGAAGACGAACCGUACGAACGUUAUUCGGAAUCACUGGGCUUAAAGGGUGCGUAGGCGGCGCGGAAAGUUGGGUGUGAAAGCCCUCGGCUCAACCGAGGAACUGCGCCCAAAACUGCCGUGCUUGAGGGAGACAGAGGUGAGCGGAACUAAGGGUGGAGCGGUGAAAUGCGUUGAUAUCCUUAGGAACACCGGUGGCGAAAGCGGCUCACUGGGUCUCUUCUGACGCUGAGGCACGAAAGCUAGGGGAGCGAACGGGAUUAGAUACCCCAGUAGUCCCUGUCUCUUAUAC
rnacentral:rRNA from 1 species